UAGUGGCGAACGGGUGAGUAACACGUGGGCAAUCUGCCCUGCACUCUGGGACAAGCCCUGGAAACGGGGUCUAAUACCGGAUACGAGCCGGGGAGGCAUCUCCCCGGUUGGAAAGCUCCGGCGGUGCAGGAUGAGCCCGCGGCCUAUCAGCUUGUUGGUGAGGUAACGGCUCACCAAGGCGACGACGGGUAGCCGGCCUGAGAGGGCGACCGGCCACACUGGGACUGAGACACGGCCCAGACUCCUACGGGAGGCAGCAGUGGGGAAUAUUGCACAAUGGGCAGAAAGCCUGAUGCAGCGACGCCGCGUGAGGGAUGACGGCCUUCGGGUUGUAAACCUCUUUCAGCAGGGAAGAAGCGAGAGUGACGGUACCUGCAGAAGAAGCGCCGGCUAACUACGUGCCAGCAGCCGCGGUAAUACGUAGGGCGCGAGCGUUGUCCGGAAUUAUUGGGCGUAAAGAGCUCGUAGGCGGCUUGUCGCGUCGGUUGUGAAAGCCCGGGGCUUAACCCCGGGUCUGCAGUCGAUACGGGGCAGGCUAGAGUUCGGUAGGGGAGAUCGGAAUUCCCU
rnacentral:rRNA from 1 species